rnacentral:lncRNA from 1 species
AAGAUAUCACAAGUUAUGCCUCUUUCAAUUACAAAAACAAGUGAAUAUAGAUGCAAUAAUUAAAUCUUCCAAAAAUGAUUCAAAUACAUAAAAAUAGAAUUAUAAUCUACAAACAAUCAUCAAUACACCAAAUCCAUCAAAACCCAAAAGGAACUACUCCAUAGACAUGGAGAAGUUCUUCACAAAUAUAACUAAAGUAUAGAAAAACAUAAAUUCAAUCCAAACCCGAAUCUUGAGUGAGGAAGGAAUGAUGAAAUCCUUAUGCUUGUGUUCUUCCCAAACCUCCUUUGCCUCCUUAGGUCGAAAAUCUGUCAAAAGUCCCCGAAAAUGGUAUUUUUCCGUGUAUUUAAGCCAUCCCUCAAUAAACCCCGGACAAAAUUAUCUUUUUUUAGCGGAAAUGGAAAGUUACUCUAAUAUUUUUGUGCUAUCUCGGCAUAAAUUGCAUUGUCGUGCCGCCCCAUGCAGCGCGGCUGUGCAGUUUCUUCGAGUAAGUUCGUUUCUCCAAUAUUUGACAUUCGGACUUCGUCCUCGACCCCCGAACGCGACCCCGAUUUAAUCACUUGGGCUUCUACUUAGACUUCAAUGCUCCAAAUAGCUCGAAUUAGCUCUACAACAUCUAAAUAACUUGGAAUCACUCCUACACGACAUAAAACACAUAAUAAGUGCAAAACACUACUAAUUAAAGUUCAACAUAAGUAAAGUGCAGUGAAUUAGAAUGCAAUGAGCGACUAAAGUGCAAUGAGCGACUAAAACACAGGGUUAUAAGCCUACCAUCAAGUAGUUGAAAUCAGAAAGCACAAAAUGGGGAUAUUAGUGUUGCUCACCAUUGUUGACUGAGAGAAGCAAAGCUUGAUCGUAAAGAUUGGUAAAACCUGGAAAGAGGAAAUCAAUGUGAACAUUUGACAGUAAGAAAUUUUGAUUAAACAAAUGAAUGUUUUAGUAGUUGCAAUGGGGCUUAACGUUACAGUCAAACAUUAAGAUUAAAUAUGUUUAUAAACCAGUAAAUUAACCCAGUCAUUCGAGUCAAAUUUUAAAGGUAAUGCAUGUAAUAGUUGUAAUCGUUAAAGACAAAUCACAAAACUAAAAUUCUCUAUAAUUGUAGGGAAAACAUAUUUAUUUUGAUUCUCGUCAAAGAAGUAAGGAACCAAAUUUGCAUUUCAGGACAAAUAUUUACUACUAUAAUUUAUUUGAGAACUUAGAUAGGACAAUUUACUUUUUUACAUCUAUAAAGUGGAGGUAAUAAUGUGGAAACAAAAAUAUACCAAGAGUUAAGGAAAACACAAACUGAUCCAAAGAGAAAUUCAACCUUGACGAAGAUGUCAUCUCUGCUCUGCUGCAUAAACUGCACCAAGGCAAGUAAACUGUGUAUAAAUCACCAGAUCGAAUAAAAAUAAAAACAAAAAGUUGUAAUUCAAAAGUGAUAUGUUUUUUCUUGUGGGUUUAUUUAAAAUCUUGUAGACGGGGAAAUUUCCAAAAAAAGAAGAAAAGAGAUAAAUAGUGCAUCCGUGAGCAUGGGGAAUGUUCCACAUCAGAUUUUAUUUUUUAGCUUUAUAAAUAUUUGUAUAUAAAUUAUUGACAAACUUUAAUUAAGCUCCACACACAUGCAAAGAUAAUGUGAACAUUACUGACUUUCCUUGUAUACCAAAAUUUCAUAGUCAACAACUAAAAUUCAAGGGAGGAAGAUAUUAUGUUUCCCGUAAGCAUCCAUGAUAAUUUGGUGAAAGCUCUACUUUCAUAAUCUCAAAUGACCGCAAUUGUCAUUAGGGAAUAAAAUGCCUCACCUGAAGGAUAACUCGAGAAGACGAAUACACUAACCUCGUGGCAAUUAAACAAUUUGUGUCGUGUUGUAUUGGUAGUACUCAAUUAUAAGGGAGAACCAUACAACUAAGCACAUUACCGGUCUAAACUCCAUAUUAGUAAAUUAUAAUCAAUAUUUAUAGACAUAAAAAUAAAUUCAAUGGUCAUCAGUCAUCACUAUUAAAUAAAAAAAUCUUUCCCAACUGUUAAUAAUGACUGAUUGCACUUAACUCCGCCUAUGUCGCCUCAUAUGUGCAUUUUUGUGAGCAUCUUCUUCUCUGGCUUUGUACUUUUCUUUUUCUCUUUUAUUUCUAGCACUAUUUCUGUGGUGUGGAUUUAGUAUUUUAACUACCUUGGCUCAUCUCUUCAUCGCUGCUACAACUGUUGGUGAGUCUUAAUCUUCAUUUUUUUUUUCAAUUUGGUAUUUACAUGGGUGUGGAUUGUAGGGUAGUUAGUUUUCUUCCUCCUUAAUUUUCUUCACCCAUCAAUAGAUUAUAUACACAUAAAUGAUAAAUCUUUAUCAAGUUGAGUUAAGAAGGCAUAAGAAAAUUGCUACUGAUUAGGGAUAAAUAACGACCAAUUUACAGUAGAGCAAUUAAGCAAUCAUUUAUGCCACAUAAAGUUGUGUUGUGAUUAUCUAUAUUACUUAACAUAUCAGAUAUUCUAGCCUUAAUAUUCAUUUGGAAAUGUUAUUGGUUCUCUUCAAAAUAAAAAAAUUCUCUUAGAUAUAAAACAUUCUACAUGGAUUUAGGUUUAAAUUUCUUAUAAAAUUUUAGAAGUUUCUUACUGCAAAUUUUCUUACAGAUUUCAAGUUAGUUCAAGUGCAUGUUCUUGAGAGGAAAAAACAUAAUAGAAUCUUUAUACUCUUGGUUAUCAAUUGUGCAGAAAACAUAAUAGUUAAGGAUCUUCGGGGCUCACCUCAAAUACAGAUGGAGAAGGUCAAAUUGAAUCUGUUCACGGCCUUUUGUUCGUUUGUACUACCAUCUAUCAACCUAAAAGAAAAAUAAAUCAUGCGCUCAACUGAAUUAUGAAACUUCAAGGGUCUAACAUUUAAAAUGCUGAAAAGAUAUGCAAAGAAGACAUAGUUGGUAAAGAUUAACUUUGAAAGGAUUAUAGACAUGCAAGUGUGAAUAAAUUUGCAGCAUUUCCUGAAUCCGUGGGUAAAGUCAACAAUGCGGCAUAUUUUUGAAUACUUCAUGGGCGUCAACAUAAGCAGUUGUUAUCCAAUUUUUCUGCGAUGGCGAAGGAGUAAGUUAAAGACGGAGCAGAAUCAAAAAUCAAAGCGCAAAUAACUAGAAAACGCAAAUUGGAAACUGUGAUGGGGAAAGAAUUUAGAGAUUAGCUAAGGAAUUAAAGUAAAUCAACAAAGAUGAAGCAAAAUCUGUGUAGAAGAGCAAACAGGGAGGAGAAAGAGUAUAGGGAUUUUCAACAAUGGUAAUGUGAUGAUCCGAUAGAUCAUCUAGAGUUUUAACCUUUAAUUUUGUAUUUUGAAAUCUUAAAUAGCUCCUUUUCGUCUUCUC